rnacentral:rRNA from 1 species
UACGUAGGGUGCGAGCGUUGUCCGGAAUUAUUGGGCGUAAAGAGCUUGUAGGCGGUUUGUCGCGUCUGCUGUGAAAAUCCGGGGCUCAACCCCGGACUUGCAGUGGGUACGGGCAGACUAGAGUGUGGUAGGGGAGACUGGAAUUCCUGGUGUAGCGGUGAAAUGCGCAGAUAUCAGGAGGAACACCGGUGGCGAAGGCGGGUCUCUGGGCCGAUACUGACACUGAGGAGCGAAAGCGUGGGGAGCGAACAGG